GGGCUCAUAGCUCAGUUGGUUAGAGCAUCGCCCUUUUAAGGCGGUGGCCGUAGGUUCGAGUCCUACUGAGCUCA
rnacentral:tRNA from 2 species